GGCGGUGUAGCUCAGGUGGUCAGAGCACGCGGCUCAUAUCCGCGGCGUCGGGGGUUCGAAUCCCUCCACCGCUACCA
rnacentral:tRNA from 1 species